GGGGUAUAUGAAAUAUGAACGACAACAAAAGAACUACAGCUAAGCGUACAGCGACUUAAAAUGGGAAUGAAUCUGGGCUUGUCGGUAAACAAAGCGACGCAAUACUGAUAUCGAGGCAAAGAUCCUACGACCUUAAGCAAACACCCACACCCUCUUGACCUCCGACCCACACAGGCCGAUAUAUUCUCAUCCCCUGCCCGACGCUGUCUGUCGUCCGUGUUUUACUCAGGCUAAGUUCAAGUGAAUUUUGUUACCGGUGAAGACCAGACUAGUUGUUUGCCGAUUUACAAGGUCAACAGAUUUUUUGGUCUAAAUAGCUUUCAUCUGAAAAUCCAUACUGAAGGAAAGAAAUGGCAGUGUUCAUUAAGCUCGAAGAUUCACCUAUGUUCCAGAAACAGGUGCGGUCACUAGAGCAGACAACAGAUGAGUUAAGAGAUCGAUGCCAAAAGCUGUACAAAGGCUGUAAGAAAUACAUGGAAGUGCUUGGGGAAGCAUGCAAUGGCGACAUGGGUUUUGCGGCAUCAUUAGAAGCGUUUGGUGGUGGCCUUGAUGAUCUUCUUGGUGUAUCCAUCGGAGGCCCAGUGUUAUCAAAAUUUAUCAGUGCAUUGCGUGAGCUUGCAACAUACAAGGAAUUUCUUCGUUCUCAAGUUGAGCAUGUUCUUGUGGACCGUUUGUCUCAGUUCUUGUCUGUUGAUUUGCAAGAUGCAAAGGACUGCCGUCGCCGGUUCGACAAGGCCAUACAUGCCUAUGACCAGGCAAGGGACAAGUUUGCUUCCUUAAAGAAGAAUACAAGGGAUGAAGUUGUUGCUGAGCUAGAAGAGGAUCUACAGAAUUCAAAGUCAACAUUUGAGAAAGGCCGCUUUAAUUUGGUACAGGCUCUCAUGAAUGUUGAAGCUAAAAAGAAGUUCGAGUUCUUGGAAUCUUUUAGUGCAAUUAUGGAUGCUCACCUGCGAUAUUUCAAAUUGGGGUAUGACCUAUUGAACCAAAUGGAGCCUUUUAUUCACCAGGUAUUAACAUAUGCUCAACAAUCAAAGGAGCAGGCAAAUAUCGAACAAGAUAAACUAGCAAAAAGAAUCCAGGAGUUUAGGACACAAUCGGAGCUAAAUCAAUUGCAGGCAUCCCAUAAACUGGCAACAUCAUCAAAUGCUAUUGCCAUGAACGGAUUUGGUAUGACUGCUUAUAAAAGCAUGGAGGCAAUCAUGCUGGCCACUGCCAAUGAUGAGGUCCAGACUAUCAAGCAGGGGUAUCUUUUGAAAAGAUCUUCAAGCCUGAGAGCAGAUUGGAAAAGGAGAUUCUUUAUACUUGACAGUCAAGGGACUCUAUAUUAUUACAGAAACAAAGGUCCCAAAGUAGGGGGUUCUCCUUCAUUACAUUCUUCACACUCACUGGAGCAUAAUAAUCGUGUGUUUAGUAGAUUCCGAGCAAGGCACCAUCGAGAAGCAUUGUCUUCUGAAGAACGUUUGGGCUGUAGCACUGUUGAUUUGCGGACUUCUACAAUUAAGAUUGAUGCUGAGGAUACUGAUCUGCGACUGUGCUUCAGAAUAAUUUCACCAUUAAAAACUUACACCUUACAGGCUGAAACUGAAGCUGAUAGGAUGGACUGGAUGAACAAAAUCACAGGAGUUAUUACAUCCCUCUUGAAUUCUCAUAUACAGCAGGUGGAUUUGGGGAAACAUGAUAAUGAUAAAAUUUAUGAUCCUUCUGGGGCAUCUUUUAGUCGAUCACUUGAUAAUGGAGAAAUUCCUUAUGGCAUAGGAGUCAACCGAGCUGAUUCUGUUUCCAGGAUUCUGAGGGAAGUUCCUGGAAAUGACCAGUGCGCUGAAUGCAGUGCUUCCGACCCUGAUUGGGCAUCUUUGAAUCUUGGCAUCGUAAUGUGCAUUGAGUGCUCUGGCAUUCACCGUAAUCUUGGUGUCCACAUAUCAAAGGUAAGAUCAGUCACCUUGGAUGUGAAAGUUUGGGAACCUACUGUCUUGGACUUAUUCCAAGCCCUGGGUAAUGCCUACUGUAAUUCUGUCUGGGAGGAGUUGCUUCCACUGCACAAAGGCCAAAAAAUAGAGGCUGAUGCCCCAUCAGUUACAAAACCAAGCCCCAUGGAUACAAUUCAUCAAAAGGAGAAGUACAUUGAAGCAAAGUAUGUUAGAAAACUGCUUGUGAAUAAAGAAGCCACAGAACCCAAGUAUCUCUCUGCUUCCACCAUCUGGGAGGCAGUUAGGGCCAACAAUCUCCGGGAAGUAUAUCGUAUAUCUAUCACAUCAGAUGCCAAUAGAGUAAACACAACCUAUGAUGACAUGGUUGAAUGCAAUUUUUACCAUGAUGAAAUGGGAUCACAACGGAGCUUCCACGACUCUGAAAAGGAACAGCUUGAUCGAGUAACCUGUGAGGGGAUCAAGUCUUCCAAUGAUCCAGGGGACUGUCUCCAUGGCUGUUCUUUAUUGCAUUUGGCAUGCCAUAAUGGAAGUUUGGUGAUGCUAGAGCUAUUGUUGCAGUUAGGGGCUGAUAUAAACAAGCGUGACCUUCACGGCAGAACUCCUCUACAACAUUGCAUCCUGAAAGGAAACAAUCAGAUGGCGAAGUUCUUGCUUCGAAGAGGCGCACGAGCAUCUAUCAGGGAUGCUGAGGGCUUUACUGCUUUAGAAAGGGCUAUGGAGAUGGGAGCAAUAACUGAUGAGCAGCUCUUCAUCUUGCUUGCAGAGAGCGAGUAAAGACUUGGAGUGCUGAUAUGUGAGUUUAUUAGCGCGUCAUUAAGUAAACACUUCUUUCCUUCUGUACGCUGAAAAUGUCUUGAAGAUGAAAUCCAUCUGUCAAUAUACUUGCCUCCCAACUUCUCAGAUAUUGUGGUUUGUAUCAAGUGUGAGAACAACACUUUACAUAUCUGAUGAGAUCUUUCCAUGCAUCCGGAGAACUCUGAGAUUAAGCUUACAGAUUGAGAAUGGAAAUCACAUAUCCUAAAUGCAUAGAGUUUAAGUGAGCCUGUUCGGAACAUCUUCAGUCGUUGCCAGGAGUGCGGUUCCCCAUUCUCAUUCCUCUUACCAGAAGUAGCGAGGAAGACCAAGUCGUGCUCUGUUUCUUUAGCUGAAACCGUUGCGACUGAUGUUGACCAUUUUCUUACUCCAAACAGAUGCAUAUAGGAGCAGUUGGUAUGUUGACUGGAGUUAAUGUCAGGACCGUUCCGCUUGUCUUCUAUGUCCAAUCUGUCAAUUUUCUGAUUACUGAAAUUUAGAAGAGAUUUGUUUGGUUGGAAGUGUUUGGAGUUUAAACAAACAACUUAUGUUACAAAGGAAAGGUUUUAAGUUUAAUAUGCAACAGUAUGUGUUGCUCAAGUUUGCAUAAAUCUUAA